GGCGCGCGCCGCGCCCAGCCUUUCCUCCCGCGCGGCGGCGGCGGCGCCAGCGGCUGUCUGCAGUCUUUCUUUCGGAGUGCUAUGGUCGGGUAGGUUGCUGUCCGCAGCAGAGGCCCGUGCCGAGCCGGCGCAGGAAACUACACCACAUUUACCAGAUUUUAUACGGUCAGAAAUCUAUUGAAAGCAAAAGAUAAUUUGAGAGGGACUUGGAUCAAGAAUGGAUUGUCUUAACUAUACAACGGCAUCUGAUUUAGCUGUGGAAACUGAGAAUCAAAGUGACAGCUCUUCCUCUGGUAGCAGCUUAUUUAAAACUCAGUGUGUUCCUGUCCCACCUAAACGGAGGCAAAGAAACUCUAUUAGAAAAUUUGUUCACAUACCCAAAAGUACUCAGGCAACAGAGACAUCUAGUGACUCAUCUAUAGAGCCAAGACCACUGACUUUAAAGGCUAUUUUUGAAAGAUUCAAAAAUAAGAAACAUAAACGUAAAAAGAAGAAAUACAAGCCAACGGGAAGAUCAGUGGGAAGACCAAAAGGAAGGAGAACCACUAGAUACUCACAAAUUACUGAGAAACAAUUUAAAGACAAAAGACCUGGUUUCCCAUUUUUAGAAUCAGAAAAUGGAAGAAAACCAUUACCUUGGAGAAAAAUUUUAACCUUUGAGCAAGCAGUGGCAAGAGGAUUUUUUAACUACCUUGAAAAACUGAAGUAUGAAUACUACCUCAAGGAAUCCUUGAAACAGAUGAAUGUUGCUGAAGAUUUAGAAAAAGACGACCUUGAUAGUCGAAGAUACAGAUACUUGGAUGAUGAUGGAUCUCUCUCUCCUAUUGAAGAGUCAGCAGCAGAGGAGGAGACUGCAGCAAACCUUGAACAUGAUGAAUGUGAUAUUAAGUUGGUGGAGAAUAGUUAUUUCAUAAUAAGCUCUGAAUUUCCAAAGAAGAAGAAUGUAUAUUUGGAUCAAGAGGAAUAUACUGAAGAAACUGCUUUGCUUAGAAAGAGAAUAUCAAAAUCUAAACACUGGACAGAGGACAAAAUGGCCUGAAGAGAGAUAGGAUUAUAAGUACCAGACAAGGCUUUUAUCUUCGGAAUACAGUGUCUGGAUUUUGCAAAGAUAUGUCUAAUGCUUUAGGUAUUGGCACAUCCCAAUGAUCUCUGUCAAGUUUUAGGGUGUGAUAACUUGGGAAUUAAUAUGAUUUGAACUUGGUAAGUUUUUAGAGAAACUAGACAGAUCCCAUCUCGUGACCCUAAACAGGAUCCUAUAGUAAACUGCUUGAGGAAAUUGGAUCUGGAAGAUUACAGGUGGCAAACUGAAGUGAACUCCACUGAAGAUCUAAGAGGCUGAACUAAAAUAACUGUGGCAAGCAUCACAGGUGUGGAUUGAGCAGAACUUUUUGAAAGGGCUAUCUUGAAGAUGGCAACUAUGGAGGAGCUAUGGUGACUGGCAGUGCAAAGAAUCAGGAAGUGUGAAAAUUGUUAAAAAUUUAUUGACUUAAAUAACUUGCCCUAUGUUAUGAAUAAAAAGAAACCUUUGUGCAGAAAGUCAGCAUAUAUUUCUGGCUCGAAGCUUCUCUAAUGUUUUCUGUGGAGGAAAUAAUAUCAGUUAUUAAUAUCAGGCUCUGAAUGUGCCUUAGACAUGAAAAGUUGGGGUUAUGUAUGGGAUGCUGCUUACCUUAUGAAAUUCUUUUGUCCUUGCUCUGUUUUGGGCAUGUGCAUCUUGUUUUGCUCUAAUCUGUAAGAAAUUUGUAUGGAAU